rnacentral:rRNA from 1 species
AUACGGAGGGUGCGAGCGUUAAUCGGAAUUACUGGGCGUAAAGCGUGCGUAGGCGGUUUGUUAAGUCAGAAGUGAAAGCCCUGGGCUCAACCUGGGAACGGCUUUUGAGACUGGCAGACUCAAGUUGAGUAGAGGGGAGUGGAAUUUCCGGUGUAGCGGUGAAAUGCGUAGAGAUCGGAAGGAACACCAGUGGCGAAGGCGACUCCCUGGACUCAAACUGACGCUGAGGUACGAAAGCGUGGGUAGCAAACAGGAUUAGAUACCCUUGUAGUCC